rnacentral:rRNA from 1 species
CACCGCUAUUGGGGUUCGAUUAAGACAUGCGAGUCGUGAGGGUUCGGCCCUCGGCAGACUGCUCAGUAACACGUGGAUAACCUGCCCUCAGGUGGAGGAUAAUCUCGGGAAACUGAGAAUAAUACUCCAUAGGCCAUUGGUGCUGGAAUGCGCUCUGGCCGAAAGCUCCGGCGCCUGAGGAUGGGUCUGCGGCCUAUCAGGUUGUAGUUGGGGUAACGGCCCAACUAGCCAGCAACGGGUACGGGCCUUGAGAGAGGGAGCCCGGAGAUGGACUCUGAGACACUAGUCCAGGCCCUACGGGGCGCAGCAGUCGCGAAAACUUCACACUGCGGGAACCCGUGAUGAGGGAACCCCAAGUGCCUGGGCAUUAGCUCAGGCUGUUCACCUGUCUAAAAAACAGGUGAAGUAAGGGCUGGGUAAGACCGGUGCCAGCCGCCGCGGUAAUACCGGCAGCCCAAGUGGUGACCCUUUUUAUUGAGCCUAAAACGUCCGUAGCCGGUCCGGCAAAUCUCUGGGCAAAUCGGGCAGCUUAACUGUUCGACUUCCAGAGAGACUACCGGACUAGGGACCGGGAGAGGUCAGAGGUA